GGCUUCAACUAUCUUUGUGCACUGCAAACUCAGCACCUAUAGGCAAAUGAUCGCUUGGAUGGUAGUAAUUCGGCAAUCCACCUUUUAGAUCAGGUGAUUCGGCAUCCGGAAGCUCAAGGUAACUGACUGGUUCAAUGCCUUCGGAAGGAGAGAAUAGUAUAUAAUCAAGUGUCCCCGUGAACCCAGGUGUAUAGUUUGUGAACUUCGGUUCACCCCUUGUGUAUGCAUAAACACUGCACAACGGCAUAGGCACGUCUUCUGAACAUUCUGGUGACGGUUCUGACAUGGGCCCACCAGAUACAAGGUACUGGAACCGAAUUGAAAUCUCCAGCAAUAAGUACAGACGGUGUGCACUCAUAUUUCUCAGAUACCGUUUUCUUGAAUCGAGCUACACGCGAUAA
rnacentral:lncRNA from 1 species